GGGUCUGUAGCUCAGCCGGUUAGAGCACUCGCUUGAUAAGCGAGAGGUCGAUGGUUCGAGUCCAUCCAGACCCA
rnacentral:tRNA from 1 species